AUCCUCACUUUUUACUGGACUAAUUUGCCGCUCGCAACCGUUUUCUUCUUUCUCUAAAUGGAACUACCCGUUAGGGGAUGAAGUCACCGCAUGUUCCAGUGAAACGAGUCUCCAGGAUUUUCUCGGCAACUUCGGUGGCAGUGUCAGGAGCCGUGAUCUCCAGAUUCUGGGACAUUCUCACGCCUGGAAGAGGGAGAGCUGGGAGAGCAUCCAGAAAUUUGCUCCAGGCAUCUUGUUCCAUCCACAUCAGGAAGCUGGCUGCACAAGGUCUUCUCUGCAGACGUUUCUGUUUCCUUGGCAUGUGUCCUUUGGAUCGCUUUAUGGGUAAAAGGAAUGAUGGCUGGAGGCUGGGCAGCCACUCUGCAACCAUGAGGAUGAAACCCACACACGAUGAAUGGUGGAAUAAACAGCCAAAGGUCCGGAGGUCCUUGAUGCCUACCUUCAACAUUUAUAACAGCUCUUCAUGGCUUGUCUCAAAACUUCUCCUUAACUAAGCAAAAUAAAAUCCACUUGGUUAAGA